GUUGUCUGCCAACACUAACUGGCCAGCUCUGACAGGAGGUGCGUGGCCCAGGAGGAGCCAUCAGGCCAGUUCUCUGGGAUACUGCUGUGUGUCCAGCUCUGCAGUUUGCUCUGCAUCACUCAGCGGCAGACAGAGAGGCAGACACAAGCCCCUUUUGAGACCUCCUCCUUACCGUCAUCUCACAAUGUUCUGAAAUAAGGAGGCAAAUGGCUGAGGUCCCCUCAGUUGUAGAUGUGAUUGAGUUCUAUCUACCAGAAGCAUAUGCCUCCUGGAAGCCUGGUUCUAACACCUCCCACAAAAUCCUUCAAGCACUUUUUUCUGCUCCAAGGUUUGCUUAUGGGGGACCUAGUGAAGUGCUUCAGAGCCCUAGAGAUUUGCUGAGUCAUAUGAGGGGUCAGCAAACUUUUCCUGUAAAGGGUCAGAUAAUAAACAUUUUAAGCUUUGUA
rnacentral:lncRNA from 1 species